ACGUUGCUGUUCACUCACUGCUCCCAGAGCUAAUCGACCGCAUCCACCCCCGAAAACCUAGAGAUGGUGCGAGCUUACAAGCAUGAACAUAUCUACCGCCACCCCUGGGACCGCGUCACCACCGCUUCCUGGCGCAAGUUCACCGAUCCCGAUACCCCCGCUGUCCUCUCCCACGUUCUCGACGUCCACACACUCUCUCGCCGCCUGGACGCCGCUUCCGGGUGCCUCCACACCGUCCGAUCCAUCACCGUUCGAUCUCCCUCCCUCCCUUUCUUUCUUCGCCGCAUCAUCGGUGGCGAGGCCGUCGUGUGCCACUGCAUCGAAACAUCAGUUGUUGACCCCCGCGCCAGAUCGAUGGAGAUCGUCGCCGUCAACGCUAGCCUUCGUGGCCUUAUCGAGGUUGAGGAGCGAUCAUCGUAUCAGCCUCACCCUGAAAAUCCUGAGGGUUGGACGCUAUUGCGGCAGGACACUAGCAUUCGUUGCAAGCCCUUUAAAGCGCUGGCUGCCGUUGCUGAGAAGGUUGAGCAGCGCUGCGUUGAGCGGUUUCAGCAGAAUAGCGUCAAGGGGAGGGAGUUUGUUGAGAGGAUUUGUAAGUACCUUGAGGCGGAAUCCUCGGCUGCAGCUGCAGGUGCUACGGCGUCAUGAUGAGCACUGUUGGACGGCUUGGUCUAAGGUUUGGCUACGUAGAGAAGUUUGCUGUGACUCAUACAAGAAAAUAUAAUGAAUUAAUAUGUUAUAAAAAUUGAAGAUGGAGUCUCCUGAGAGGAAAAUGACAUAAGAGAGGUUGAUACAUCUCGUCUAGGAAGGUAAGCUUGGCUGGAGAAGUUAGAAAGAAAUAUCAGGGAGCUGCUUGUUAGGAGGGAAGUUGCAUAGACAACACACAGAAAGCGAUAGGGUGAGAGAAGCUGGUACAUUUUGUAUUAUGAUAAUGCUAUUUUUUUUAAUACAAUCAAAUCAUUAGACAAUCAGCUGGUUUAUUAGACAUUCAUUAUAU